GACGAACGCUGGCGGCGUGCUUAACACAUGCAAGUCGAACGAUGAAGCCGGAGCUUGCUCUGGUGAAUUAGUGGCGAACGGGUGAGUAACACGUGAGUAACCUGCCCUUGACUCUGGGAUAACUGCUAGAAAUGGUAGCUAAUACCGGAUACGACCCUCGGAGGCAUCUCCAGGGGGUGGAAAGAAUUUCGGUCAAGGAUGGACUCGCGGCCUAUCAGCUAGUUGGUGAGGUAACGGCUCACCAAGGCGACGACGGGUAGCCGGCCUGAGAGGGUGACCGGCCACACUGGGACUGAGGCACGGCCCAGACUCCUACGGGAGGCAGCAGUGGGGAAUAUUGCACAAUGGGCGCAAGCCUGAUGCAGCAACGCCGCGUGAGGGAUGACGGCCUUCGGGUUGUAAACCUCUUUUAGUAGGGAAGAAGCGAAAGUGACGGUACCUGCAGAAGAAGCACCGGCUAACUACGUGCCAGCCGCCGCAGUAA
rnacentral:rRNA from 1 species